CGGCCGAGGGCGCCUGGCCGAGUCCUGGCGGCGGCUGAGCUCCCGGCGCGGCUCCAAGCGCACCGGACCCUCCUCGCCCGCGCUGGCGCUGAGAUGAAUUCUUACCCCAGCCAGAACCCUGAAUGAGAUUCAGGUUGCAAGUGUUUCGGCAGAAUUGAAAGCAUGGUACCAGGAAUGUGAGAGGUCAGAAAUUCUGGCCUAAUCUUUUGCCUUAUUUCAUUGCAAGAGAGGUCACAAUUGAACUGCUGAAUUGUUACUCCUGCAGAGAGAGAACCGAAAUUUUUUGUUGAACACAGUCAUCCAUUCGCCAGACACUGUGGGAUGUGUCUGGAGAACAUUGGCAAAAAAAAAAUAAAAUUCAUUACUGUUGUAGAAAAACACACAGUUAAGACAUGCAUAAAUUGUACAGGCUACAGUCUACCUAUGGCAGCAGGAGGACUUAGAAACAAAUUUUUUACAAUGAAAAAAGAACUCAAUGCUUCAAGUCAAAUAUUUAGGCUAUUAAAUUCUGAAUCAGAGUUCUUUCUGUUGAAAUGAAUUUUAUUUGUGUACAGUGAAGUAUAUAUCUGAUUUUUGCAUAUCGCAUAAAAUUUUCCACUGAAAUGUAAUUCUACUUGACAGCAUCACAUGAGAACUGAUUCACACGCACAGAUAUUCAAGAUUAGAUUACAGCCCAUAGUAAUACAUAAUUUUGUUGCAGCCUUGUUGGAAAACAGCUCCUGACUUGCAAAUAAGCCUUGAGCAGAGUCCUCAGAGAGCAGAAAUAAUCUGUCUAAGCAGUGUGGAAGAACAAAUAUUAGUCUUCUGUGCUUCAAGGGACCUAUGUGCAGAAUGUGAUUUCAGUUUCUCACCUAUCAUUUCUUCUGAAUUUUUUGCUCAAGUGUUAACAAGUUAACACUUGUUAAAAGUGUUCCGCAGUAGUACAGGUGCUGGACCCCUGCAGAGCUUCAUUGUGUUUUCUUCUGUGACAGAGCUUAUUUCUCAGAUGGCAGUGAUCUAUUUCAUGAAGUUCUGUGUGUGACCACAGCAACUCUUGAUUUACCCUGAGUAAUACAGGCUAUUGUCAGUGUACUGUCAUCUCCACAGUUUUCCUGCCAUGAUACUUGGAGAAUUUUGGUUCCUCUUUACCUGCAGUCUCAGUGUGUUACUACGAGUGGGUUGGGCUGUUCUUGCUUAGCCAGGAUAGUACCUGGAAUGGAAGCAUAAAACUAGUUUGUUGGUGGUCAGGCAAAUAGCAGUAAAAUCUAAACAUUCAGAAGAAAGAAAAACAGCAAUUAUUUGCCAUUUCUGACUUUGGCUGUACUUUAUGAGCUAAUAUAGUUACACUACAUGAA